AUUGAACGCUGGCGGCAUGCCUUACACAUGCAAGUCGAACGGCAGCGGACCUUCGGGUGCCGGCGAGUGGCGAACGGGUGAGUAAUAUAUCGGAACGUACCUUUCAGUGGGGGAUAACGUAGCGAAAGUUACGCUAAUACCGCAUAUUCUGUGAGCAGGAAAGCAGGGGAUCGCAAGACCUUGCGCUGAUUGAGCGGCCGAUAUCAGAUUAGCUAGUUGGUGAGGUAAAGGCUCACCAAGGCGACGAUCUGUAGCGGGUCUGAGAGGAUGAUCCGCCACACUGGAACUGAGACACGGUCCAGACUCCUACGGGAGGCAGCAGUGGGGAAUUUUGGACAAUGGGCGCAAGCCUGAUCCAGCCAUGCCGCGUGAGUGAAGAAGGCCUCGGUUGUAAGACGUCUUUC
rnacentral:rRNA from 1 species